UGAUCCUGGCUCAGAUUGAACGCUGGCGGCAUGCCUUACACAUGCAAGUCGAACGGUAACAGGUUAAGCUGACGAGUGGCGAACGGGUGAGUAAUGUAUCGGAACGUGCCCAGUCGUGGGGGAUAACCGCUCGAAAGAGCAGCUAAUACCGCAUACGACCUGAGGGUGAAAGCGGGGGAUCGCAAGACCUCGCGCGAUUGGAGCGGCCGAUAUCAGAUUAGGUAGUUGGUGAGGUAAAGGCUCACCAAGCCGACGAUCUGUAGCUGGUCUGAGGGGACGACCAGCCACACUGGGACUGAGACACGGCCCAGACUCCUACGGGAGGCAGCAGUGGGGAAUUUUGGACAAUGGGCGCAAGCCUGAUCCAGCCAUGCCGCGUGCGGGAAGAAGGCCUUCGGGUUGUAAACCGCUUUUGUCAGGGAAGAAAAGGUUCUGGCUAAUACCUAGGACUCAUGACGGUACCUGAAGAAUAAGCACCGGCUAACUACGUGCCAGCAGCCGCGGUAAUACGUAGGGUGCAAGCGUUAAUCGGAAUUACUGGGCGUAAAGCGUGCGCAGGCGGUUAUGCAAGACAGAGGUGAAAUCCCCGGGCUCAACCUGGGAACUGCCUUUGUGACUGCAUGGCUAGAGUACGGUAGAGGGGGAUGGAA
rnacentral:rRNA from 1 species